GUCUCCUUUGAGUGAAAGCCAACUCCUGAACUUGCUGUAAUAACAACAUGUUCUGUUGUAUACUCAUAACAGCUUUUUGUUGUCUUUGACAAAGUAUUUGGCAUUUCUUCUACUUUUCCAUGUACAGUUGCUAUCUAGAGGAUCCAUGACUAGAUUUACCUUUCUUCUGAAUAUGCAGACCGUAUUUUUUAAGCUGGCCAUAGCUGUGUAGGUGGCCACCUUCUAAAAGCUUCAGCAUCUGUAUUAUUGAAUAAAUAGAAAAACUGGGAGGAUGAUAUCCCUGAAAACUUUCUUUCCCCUCAUUGCACCCGUUGUUUUAAUAAAAUAAAUUUCCUCUCACUACAGACCUUACCUCAUCAUUUUGCAUAAUCAUCAUGACUGAAGUAACAAUUGCUGCAGCUAGCACUAUUGAUCUCAAUAGUGCUCAGGUAAUUAAGAGCUCUUUAUGAAGUACUCAAAUGAAAAAGGAGGAUUUUCAGCAGUUCUCAGCAUUGUUGUUCCAGGACUUGUACUGCAGAAAUGGUGUGGAUCCCCAGAUGGAAGGAAUUGUACUAAUUGACACACUCUUUCAAGAUUUCAAUUGCAAAUCACGUGAAAAGUACAGACACCUUUCCUAAAUAAGUAAAAAGAAGAGAAUAUGUUGAGUGAAGUAGUCAGGAUUUAAAAGAGACUGGAGAUUUGUCAAAUGAAGAAUUUACAGAGUGACCUUAUGUCAGGUGGCAUAGAGUUGAUUUUCUUCCUAGAGGAGCUUUGCAGAAAUAAAAAAUACUCAAAAUCAGCAUCACCAAGAACAGCAGUGUUGUUCAGAACAUCUGUUAUUGAAGAGCUCGGCCUCAAGCAUCUUUAAAUGAGCAUCUGGUUGUUUAUUUAUUUAUUUGUUUACUGUUGCAAUUGAUUUUAAAAUAAUCAAGACAUUGUAAAUCCAAAAGUCUUUUAGAAGUAUUUUAAGGAAUGCUGGAAAACAAUUGUUUCUACAAUUGAACAGCUUACCUAUGUUUUGCACAGCAAUAUCAGACUGCAACAAUAAAAAAACCAGUUAUUCUUCUGUCA
rnacentral:lncRNA from 1 species